rnacentral:rRNA from 1 species
UACAUGCAAGUAGAACGCUGAAGCUUGGUGCUUGCACCGAGCGGAUGAGUUGCGAACGGGUGAGUAACGCGUAGGUAACCUGCCUCUUAGCGGGGGAUAACUAUUGGAAACGAUAGCUAAUACCGCAUAAAAGUCGAUAUCGCAUGAUAUUGAUUUGAAAGGUGCAAAUGCAUCACUAAGAGAUGGACCUGCGUUGUAUUAGCUAGUUGGUGAGGUAACGGCUCACCAAGGCGACGAUACAUAGCCGACCUGAGAGGGUGAUCGGCCACACCGGGACUGAGACACGGCCCAGACUCCUACGGGAGGCAGCAGUAGGGAAUCUUCGGCAAUGGGGGCAACCCUGACCGAGCAACGCCGCGUGAGUGAAGAAGGUUUUCGGAUCGUAAAGCUCUGUUGUAAGAGAAGAACGAGUGUGAGAGUGGAAAGUUCACGCUGUGACGGUAUCUUACCAGAAAGGGACGGCUAACUACGUGCCAGCAGCCGCGGUAAUACGUAGGUCCCGAGCGUUAUCCGGAUUUAUUGGGCGUAAAGCGAGCGCAGGCGGUUAGAUAAGUCUGAAGUUAAAGGCUGUGGCUUAACCAUAGUACGCUUUGGAAACUGUUUAACUUGAGUGCAGAAGGGGAGAGUGGAAUUCCAUGUGUAGCGGUGAAAUGCGUAGAUAUAUGGAGGAACACCGGUGGCGAAAGCGGCUCUCUGGUCUGUAACUGACGCUGAGGCUCGAAAGCGUGGGGAGCAUACAGGAUUAGAUACCCUGGUAGUCCACGCCGUAAACGAUGAGUGCUAGGUGUUGGGUCCUUUCCGGGACUCAGUGCCGCA